rnacentral:tRNA from 1 species
GGGGGUUUAGCUCAGUUGGUAGAGCACCUGCUUUGCAAGCAGGGGGUCACCGGUUCGAAUCCGAUAACCUCCACCA